rnacentral:rRNA from 1 species
ACGGGAGGCAGCAGUGGGGAGUAUUGGGCAAUGGGCGAAAGCCUGACCCAGCAACGCCGCGUGAGGGAAGAAGGUCUUCGGAUUGUAAGCUUCUUUUAUGAGGGACGAAGGAAGUGACGGUACCUCAUGAAUAAGCCACGGCUAACUACGUGCCAGCAGCCGCGGUAAUACGUAGGUGGCAAGCGUUAUCCGGAUUUACUGGGUGUAAAGGGCGCGUAGGCGGGGAUGCAAGUCAGAUGUGAAAUCCAUGGGCUCAACUCAUGAACUGCAUUUGAAACUGUAUCUCUUGAGUGCUGGAGAGGUAGAUGGAAUUCCUUGUGUAGCGGUGAAAUGCGUAGAUAUAAGGAAGAACACCAGUGGCGAAGGCGAUCUACUGGACAGUAACUGACGCUGAGGCGCGAAAGCGUGGGGAGCAAACAGGAUUAGAUACCCUGGUA